ensembl:lncRNA novel transcript
CUCUUACUGAUUGUUUAAAGGAUGUUGAUUUGAUCCCACCUUUUAAUCGGAUGCUGCUGGAAGUCACCUUUGGCAAGCUGUAUGCUUGGACUGUUCAGAACAUUCUAAAUGUUCUGAUGGAUGCCAGUGCCAAAUUUAAAGAGCUUGGUAUCCAGCCGGUUCCCCUGCAGACCAUCACCAGUGAGAACCCAUUGGGACCGAGCCUGGGGAGCAUCCCGCAAGCCCGCUUCCUCCUGAUGAUGCUCAGCAUGCUCACCCUGCAGCACAGCGCAAACAACCUCGACCUCCUGCUCAAUUCCGGCACGCUGGCCCUCACUCAGACGGCACUGCGCCUGAUUGUUCUUCCAGAUGUAGAGUUAUUGAUUUGAGAUCAUCUUCUGUGAAUGCAGACUUCUAUAGUAUAAUUGCCCGUCUUAGCCCUGCUUUUGGCGCAGCACAGAAGUUUUGGCCCCAGUUGUGACAAUGUUGAGGAAGAUAUGAAUGCUUCUGCUCAAGGUGCUUCUGCCACAGUUUUGGAAGCAACAAGGAAGGAAACGGCUCCUGUGCAUCUCCCUGUUUCAGGGCCAGAACUGGCUGCCACGAUGAAGAUUGGAACGAGGGUCAUGAGAGGUGUGGACUGGAAAUGGGGCGAUCAGAAGCUGAACAAACUGAAAGGAACAUUCACCCCACUACAAUGAUGUUUACCAGCACUAUUAACUUACUGCAGACUCUUUGUCUGCCUGCCAGAGUUCAUGCUGAGAUCAUGCAGAGCGAAGCCACCAAGACUUUAUGCGGACUGCUGCAAAUAUUAGUGGAAAGCGGAACGACGGACAAGACACGCAUGGAAUGAGAGAUUGAGGGCCCAGGGAGUCAGCGCUGGGGGCCGCACGCUUGUCGUGUCCGGGUGUGCAUGUGGGUGGGUGUGGAUGUGUGUGGAUUCAUUUCCUGUGGCUGCUGUAACAAAGUACUACAAACUUGGGGGCUUACGCAGUAGAAAUUCUCAUGAUUCUGGUGGUUGGAAGACUGAGAUCAAGGGUGGUUCCUUCUGGGGCUGUGAGGGAGAAGCUGCUUCAGGGCUCUGCCCCAGCUUCUGGAGUUUGCUGGCCUCUUUAGCGUUCCUCGGCUUGUAGAGGGGUCACCCUGAUCUCUGCCAUCAUCUUCACAUGGCAUUCUCCCUGUGUGUGAGUCACCUCCAAAUCUCCCCUUUUCAUAAGGACAUCAUUCAACCUCAUCAAACUGAUUACAUCUGCAGCGGCCCUAUUUCCAAACAAGGUCACCUGCCGAGGUAUGGUAGGGGUUAGGGCUUCAACAUACAAAUUUUGCAAUUCUGAAUUCAACCCAUAACACUGGCUUCAAACAACAAAUUUGUUCUCUCAGAGUUCUGGAGACCAGAAGUCCCAAAUCCAGGUGCGGGCAGGGCCAUGCUCCCUCCACAGGCUCUAGGGGAAGGUCCUUCCUUACCUUAUCCAGCUUCUGGGAGCUCCAGGCUUCCCUGGUGUGGGGACGCAUUGUGCCAGUCUCAGAGGCCUGCAUCUUCACAUGGCCCCUGCCCCUGUGUUCUGCAUGUCUUUUUCUGUCUCUGAAAGGACUCUUUCAUUGAGCUUCUUUGACUCUAAUCCAACAUGAUGUCACCUAAAUUCUUACCUUAAGGACGUCUACAGAGACCUC